CUAUAUAUAUAUAUUCCAUAGUCAUGUGUCCUUUUUUGACAUGGGAAGUCUUAGGCAGGUUUAUAACACACUUGGCUCUGAGUGGGGAAAGAUUACCUGCCAUCAUAUUGAAGUGAAUUUAGGGGAAGAAAGAAUAUUGCAAAUGACAACAUAGGUAUUUCAGAAAAAAGGAAAAAUCUGAAUGAAAGAGUAAUUGAGAUGUUGAUAUAGAGAUGACUUCAUAUUAAUUCUGAACUAGAGAGAGAGACACUACCUUAAAUAAGGAUGGAAAGAAAAAUAGUAAAUUUUGGAAAAUGACGCUUAGUUUUUGAAACAUUUAGGAAUUACUAGGUAAAAUAAAAUUCAAUGAGUUUCAUCAGUCCUAAGUGUGUCAAAUGUGAGAGUUAAGAAUGAGGGACUAGGGAAAUUUGGCAGUCCCUUGGUGAGGAAACUAGUAUGAGAGGAAGGAUGUUUUUGAACGUGUCUGUCAUAGUGAUUUUCAUGCAAAAUUGUCUGCCUGUUUUAAAACAUGGUAGAUUGCAGUGCAGCUUUAACAUGCUUUCCUCUGCAGGCUCCUCCAUCUACUCUUUGAAGCUUCUGCCCAGCUUGCAUUGUUUCUAGGAGAACCCACGUCAUACCUUUAUCUAUAGCCUUCCCCUAGGUCUUCAGAAACAUCAAGUUUUAACUGUGGACAUUGGAUUUGGUGGAACAGCAAUCAUGGUAAGCUGUAUGAUAAGGAUGAGGGUUGAAAUGUGCUGUAAGGGCCGAAAGAAAUAGUUUGCCAGCAUGUGCAGUGAUCUUGGGUUCUGAAUGUUAGAAAUAAGGAUACAUCCAUGGAUAUGGAUUCUCAUUGCAUUGAGUAUCAGCUGAAGAUGAGCUGAUUUUUUUAUUUUUAUUUUUUUCAGACGGAGUCUUGCUCUGUCUCCCAGGCUGGAGUGCAGUGGUGCGGUCUUGGCUCACUGCAACCCUGGGUUCAAGAGAUUCUCGUGCCUCAGCCUCUUUAUUAGAGACAGGGUUUCACUGUGUUGGCCAGGCUCGUCUCAGGUUCCUGACCUCUGGUGAUCCACCCACCUCGGCCUCCCAAAGUGCUGGGAUUACAGGCAUGAGAUGAGCCACUGUGCCUGGCCAUGAGAAAUGUUUCAUGAUGUGAGAAAAUACAGGAGUUUUUGAUCAUGAUACCACCAGUGGUGAAGGACUGUCCUGCAGAUGAUGGACUCUCAGGUCAGAUUACAAUAGAAAUAAAGAGGACUUUGAAAAUGGAAGGGUUUUGGCAUUAACAGUACAGAGAAAAGCAGUCUGGAGAGAGAGAACACCCUACAUCGUUGUGGUAUUGGUUGGCUUCUGCAGCAGUCUUAGACCAAAUCUUGGUUGUGCUAUUCGGGAUUAGGGGAUUUUUGGUGAAUUAUUCUAUGUGCUGGGCAUUACCUAGGUAAGGGUAGGAGUUGGUGAUUCAUGUUUGCUUGGUAUGUUUAUAAAAGAGGUGUUUUCACAAUUUGACAAAUAAUGUGCAUUUUAUACACAAGAUACCUCCAUGGUAUACUUAUUGUUCUUUUGUUAUUUGUACUCUUUGCAAAUUUAUUUAAAUGCAUGUUCAUGUAUAUCAUAAGUAUAUAUUCACAUGCAUGUCUAAAUUUAAUUUAGUGGCAUAGAUCUAUCUCAGGGGUAUUAAUCUUU
rnacentral:lncRNA from 1 species